UAGAGAUUAGUGUAGCGGAAGCACUAAGAGUUUUGAUCUCUUCAGGUUGGGUUCGAACCCCAUAUUUCUAA
rnacentral:tRNA from 1 species